ensembl:lncRNA
GCUGCACAAACGGGCAAGCGUUGCUGUUUUACCAUCGCAAUGGAACAUCAUUCACGCUAAUCUUGAACACCUUAUAACUGGUUAACUAGCCCAAGCAGAGCUGUACUAGUACACAGAUAUCAGGCUAAAGCCUCUGCCGAGGCUUCUUAUUUUAAAGGGACAUGCAUAACUAUGUGGUUCAAAUUCUUAGCUACUAUGAAUUGUAAUUUCUCAGUUGAUUUAUAGCUGCAAAGGAUCUAGUCCUUGAUCUUUAACUUCUAAUUCAUUUUCUUAGCAGUGAAUGUAACAUGUGUGUUUGGUAAGAAUAACCGACUGCUCUGCUGUUACACCGUGCCAUGAGAUAAAUCAUUUAUCAUGUGUUUCUAAUCACGUCACUUGCAGCGCCCAGUAAUUAAUCUCCCAUAACCCUUACUUCAUUCUGAACCCCUGAGUAGAUCCCAAGGGAUAUCAGUUGUUAGCAUCCAUCAGAGGAACGCAUCCCCCUUCUUUCCAAAGAUUGCUCAGCUACCACAACAGGCAGCAUCGUCUCCACUUUGAAAUCUGUAAUGAGGCCCUGCAGCGGUACAGGAAUGACUGCUGCUCUACAACACAAAGAGAAGGCAACUGCAAGCUCUCAUGCCACUUUACUAGGUCCACAUACAGCGUUGGGCUGGGCUAUCAAGUGUGACUUGUCAGUCAAGAACUGGGACCACAACAUAGUUGGUGCUGAAAAAACAAUCUUGUUAUAAUUACUGUACAGCCCACAAGAAAAGCGUAGAUGACAAAAUCAGAAGACCACAACUUUGCUAACAGCUUGGCCAGUCGUGUCAUUUGCUGUAAAAUGAAAGGGAACUGUAAAUUGGUAAGGCACGCAAGAACUCAAGUCAUGUCCCAAAUUGAGGUGCCCUGUUGUGUAUCUGCUUCUAAAUGCCAGGAGAAAUACUGCAUUGCAGACACUGAAGUCCCAUGUCUGACUGCCCCUCCUUUAUACACAUCUCUAGUCUCACACAAGCCUCAGAAGUCUGAUCUGGACCUCCUCGUGGACCUUUCUGGCUACCUGACCAGGAAUGCCAGUGCCUCCCGGGUACAGCAGGAAAGCACCAGGGCUCGCAGAGCUUCCAACUCCCCCAGCUUCUACAUCAGCCAGCAGCAGGAUAACAGGAGGCAGCACUGGGCUACGCAGAACAACGCUCCGGAAAGAGAAAAGGAGCUUUCUUCAGAACACCCCAAUGGACAGAAAACCACACAAAUUCAACUCGGCUAGAAGCCUAUAGAGCAAACAAAGACAAGGUACGACACCUGAGAAAUCCAGGUCAACUUCAAGGGCUGGAGCAAAGGUGUGGGACAAGUAAGGAGAAGGCAGGGAGGAAUGCUUUAUAGUACCUCAUUACAAAAACAUCCUUGGUAUUUUCACCCCCACAAGGCAACCAUGAGAUACAAUUGCUUAGAGCCUUCUAAACAGCCAAAUCAUUUCCAGCUUGCACUGUAAUUUAGUAGGUAGCUAGCUGAAAAAUCUUCAAGUCCAAUUAGACAAUAAUUGCAUGUUUGAAUUUGAGCAAUUUGUACAGAAUAGGACAAUUUAAAUCUUUCAGAGGACUUAGCUGAAUAGCUACUAUAAACCUAUGCCCUAGAAACUGUCUAAACCUCCCCUGGCACAGCUUGAGGCCAUUUCCCCACAUUUUAACACCUGGUGCAUGGGAGAAGAGCCCGAUCCCCACCUCACUACAACCUCCUUUAAGAUAAUUGUAAAGUACAAUAAGGUCCCCCUGAGCCUUCUUUUCUCUAAGCUAAAAUUAAAUUAAAAACCUGCCUCCCUGUUUCUAAAAGGCUGUUUACACUAACAUGGCUCAAGAAGCACCAUGGUCACACUACAGGCACUGAUGCAAACUUCCACCAGCCCAGGCUCUUAUUAAGGAACCACAGCAGUGCCCCAAAGCAGCACGAGCAGCACUGCCUUGUGAGGAACCCCAGUGGAGAGCUCGGAGAGCUCACCCUACACCUAACAACCAGGACACCACCAACAGGGUCCAGUCGCCCCAUAUCUGAGGCAAGUCA